rnacentral:lncRNA from 1 species
GGCUCCCUGAGCGCGCACGUUGCAGAGUCUCCGCCGCGCCUAUCUGUCAGCUCCCGCACGUUGGCCGGAGUCUCGGGGACCUAGGCCCAUGUGGAAGCUGGUCCCCGCCGCGGGCCCUGCCCGAGAACCAUACAGACUUUUGACUGGUGUUGAGUACAUUGUUGGAAGAAAAAACUGUGGCAUUCUAAUUCAAGAUGAUCAGUCGAUCAGUCGAAAUCAUGCUACAUUAACCGCUAACUUUUCUGUAACCAACCUGAGUCAAACAGAUGAAAUUCCUGUACUGACAGUAAAAGAUAAUUCUAAGUAUGGUACCUUUGUUAAUGAGGAGAAAAUGCAGAAUGGUCUUUCUCAAAUUUUGAAGUCCGGGGAUAGAGUUACCUUUGGAGUGUUUGAAAGUAAAUUCAGAGUAGAGUAUGAACCUUUGGUUGCAUGCUCUUCUUGUUUAGAUGUUUCCGGGAAAACUGCUUUAAGUCAUGCCAUAUUGCAACUCGGAGGACUUACGGUAAACAGUUGGACAGAGAGAUGUACUCAUCUUGUCAUGGUAUCAGUUAAAGUUACCAUUAAAACAAUAUGUGCACUCAUUUGUGGGCGUCCGAUUGUAAAACCAGAAUAUUUUACUGAAUUUCUUAAAGCAGUUCAGUCCAAGAAACAACCUCCAGAAAUUGAAAGUUUUUACCCACCUGUUGAUGAACCAGCUAUUGAAAGUAAAAAUAUUGAUCUAUCAGGACGCCAGGAAAGAAAACAAAUCUUCAAAGGGAAAACAUUUGUCUUUCUAAAUGCCAAGCAGCAUAAAAAAUUAAGUGCAGCAGUUAUAUUUGGAGGAGGAGAUGCUAGGUUGAUAACAGAAGAAAAUAAAGAAGAUGAUAGUUUCUUUUCAGCUCCUGGAACUUGUGUUGUUGAUACAGGACUAACAGAUUCACAGACUUUAGUUCCUGACUCUCAGAAAAAAUGGAUUCAUUCAAUUAUGGAUAUACUCCAAAGGCAGGGUCUUAGACCUAUUCCAGAAGCAGAAAUUGGAUUAGCAGUUAUUUUUGUUACUACAGAGAAUUACUGUGAUCCACAGGGCCAGCCCAGUACAGGACUGAAGACCACAACUCCAGGUCCAAGCCUUUCCCAAGCCUUACCAGCCAAUAAAAAUUUAAUGCCAGAUGCCUCAGUGAAUGCUACAGCAUAUGUAGCUGACACAGAAUCAGAACAAGCAGAUACAUGUAUGGAUGUGAGUGAAAGACCAAAAGAAAUCAAAAUAUUUGGAAUGGAACCAAAAUGUCGAAUACUUUCACAAGAAACGUCCACUGUGAAGAAACCCCACAAAAUAAGCUCUAAUAGUAAUAUAGUGUCAAAUACUCUGGUUAGGAUGAAAAUCCCAAACUAUCAGCUUUCACCGACUAAAUUCCCACAUGUAAAUAAAAGUAGAGGUUGGCCUUCUCAGCAUCAGCAAACCAACUCCAUCAAAGACUAUUUUCAGCCACUUAACUCUCCCAAAAAAAGGGAAAGGGAUGAAGAAAAUCAAGAAAUGUCUUUAUCCAAAUCAGCAAGAAUGGAGAUAUCUUGUUCUCUUUUAGAACAAACACAACCAACUACAUCCUCAAUAAGGAAAAUUAAGGAUGAGCACCUAUCUCAGAAUGUGCUUGUGGGAAAAAACCCAGAUAAUUCAUAUGCAGAUACCAAUUUAAAACCUACUGUGAAAAAUUAUGCCAAUAAGUCUCUUUUUACAGAAAAACUAAAAUCAGAAAAAAGAAAAGAAAUUGAUGAUUUAGCCAUAGAAGAGGAAGUAUUGGAACAGUUAUUCAAGGAUACAGAAUUAGAGUUAGAAAGCGAAGUGAAAGUUCAAAAACAAGAGGAAGAUACCAAUGUUAGAAAAAGGCCACGAUUGGAUAUAGAAACAAAUGCCACUUUUAAUGAUGAAACAAUACCAGAAAGUAACAAGAUAUCUGUGGAUUCUUUACUGUCUGAGCCAGCAGUGAAGCCUGUAGCAUCUUUGAGAGCCCGGCAAUUAUACCUUGUCAUUUACUGGAUACCAUCAUACUGUCUACAGCAACGUACACUGAGCAAGAAAAUGAAAUUGAGAAGAAGUGUGAGCUCAAGAAAGAAUCACUCUGGUCAACUAAAGAACUAUCUAACAAUGGUGAACCUCAGGAUGGUGAUGAGAUGCUUCCAAAGAAAGUGUUACUGACUGAAUUUCGAUCCCUUGUGGUUUGUAAUUCCACCUCCAGAAAUGCAUCCAGUGUGAAUAAUGAUUAUGGUGAACUAAAGAAUUUCAAGAAAUUCAAAAAGGUCACAUUUCCUGGAGCAGGAAAACUUCCACACAUCAUUGGAGGAUCAGAUCUAAUAGCUCAUCAUGCUCGAAAGAAUACAGAAUUAGAAGAGUGGUUGAGGCAGGAAAUGGAGGUUCAAAAUCAGCAUGCCAAAGAAGACUCUCUUGCUGAUGACCUCUUUAGAUACAAUCCUAAUGUUAAAAGGAGAAGAUAACAAGGUUUUAUGAAGAAGCCACAGAAAAACAUUUCCUGUUUAGUAUUUACUUCACGUUUCCUCUGCAAUACAUUCAUAUCAUGUAUAGAAGAUUUAAGUUU